UUCUACAGUAUACUGAUCCUAUCUGGUUUCAGAUGUUAAGCAGGGUUGGGCCUGGCUGCUGCUUGGAUGGAGGACCAUCUGGGAAUACCAGGUGCUGUAAGAC
rnacentral:rRNA from 1 species